rnacentral:rRNA from 1 species
UACGGGGGGAGCAAGCGUUGUUCGGAUUUACUGGGCGUAAAGGGCGCGUAGGCGGUCGUGACAAGUCACUUGUGAAAUCUCCGGGCUUAACUCGGAACGGUCAAGUGAUACUGUCGGACUAGAGUACAGAAGGGGCAACUGGAAUUCUCGGUGUAGCGGUGAAAUGCGUAGAUAUCGAGAGGAACACCUGCGGCGAAGGCGGGUCGUCUGGGACUGAUGACUGACGCUGAGGCG